UAGGGGAGGCAGCAGUGGGGAAUAUUGCACAAUGGGCGAAAGCCUGAUGCAGCGACGCCGCGGUGAGCGAUGAAGUAUUUCGGUAUGUAAAGCUCUAUCAGCAGGGAAGAUAAUGACGGUACCUGACUAAGAAGCUCCGGCUAAAUACGUGCCAGCAGCCGCGGUAAU
rnacentral:rRNA from 1 species